rnacentral:lncRNA from 1 species
CACGUAGCCCGUGUCCCGCACCUUGAUUGGCUGUGUUGGGACUGCGGUUACGCCCUCGGGCUCCGAUUGGCUGCGGGUAGAGGGGCAGGUGGCCGGGACGGCGGUGCUGAGGGGAGUUCGCGGCGUUCUCGGGACCCUAGUCUCGGGCCCCUGCCCCCUGUUCCCAGGCCUCGGGAAGACUGCAGGCUACGGGAAAUCUCUGCGGGGGGAGGGAGGAAGGACGGAGGGACCCGGGACUCACUGCGUCUUGCAUGGAGUGGACAGGUAUGAUGAGUACAUUCUGAGUCCCAGGAUAGUGGGAA